rnacentral:rRNA from 1 species
GACGAACGCUGGCGGCGUGCUUAACACAUGCAAGUCGAACGGAAAGGCCUGCUUUCCCUUGUGGAUUGCGGGUGCUCGAGUGGCGAACGGGUGAGUAACACGUGAGUGAUCUGCCCCCAACUUGGGUAUAAGCCUGGGAAACUGGGUCUAAUUCCCGAUAGGACUGCAGGGUGGUGCCUGUGGUGGAAAACGAUUCUCUAGUGGUUGGGGAUGAGCUCGCGGCCUAUCAGCUUGUUGGUGGGGUAAUGGCCUACCAAGGCGGCGACGGGUAGCCGGCCUGAGAGGGUGGACGGCCACAUUGGGACUGAGAUACGGCCCAGACUCCUACGGGAGGCAGCAGUGGGGAAUAUUGCACAAUGGGCGGAAGCCUGAUGCAGCGACGCCGCGUGGGGGAUGACGGCCUUCGGGUUGUAAACUCCUUUCGACCGCGAGGAAGCCACCUGGUUGGAAGGGUGGUGACGGUAGUGGUAGAAGAAGCACCGGCUAACUACGUG